UGACCUUGACCUCAUUUUCACGGUUCAUUGCUCAGUGUUAAGUUUUAAUGUUUUGGUCUGUUUUUCUUAAACUAUAAGCAGUAGGUCAACUAUAUUUGUUGUAUGAAAGAAUUGUUAGCUGUACAUGUCUUUCUGAAAUGGUUCAUCUGACCUUGACCUUAAUUUCAUGGUUUAUUGGUCAAUGUUUGGCUUUCUUGGUUAAUGUGAAGUUUAUGUGACAGUUGUAAUAAAGUUUUAUAUUUAGGACUAUCAACAUACUAUCAAUGAUUAGUAAAGAAGGCGAGACAUUUCAGUGUGUGCACUCUUGUUGUUUUCUCUUUAUGAAGUUUCCAGGCUUAGAGCUAAUUUCCUAAUUCUUGUAGAGUAUGACUUUGUUGGCUUGCUUGCUUCCUUUGUAUAAAUACUAUCUCAAUCAUUUUAACUGACAUCAGCAAACAGAAUUGAUGGGCAUAGUUGAUCUGUUAAUCCUGUAUAUGAGACGAUAUCUGAAAAAGUCUUAAUUUCCAUGUCCCACACUUUACCAGCAAUUAUUUUUUUAUUCAGGC
rnacentral:lncRNA from 1 species